UACGGAGGGUGCGAGCGUUGUCCGGAAUCAUUGGGCGUAAAGAGCUCGUAGGCGGCCUGUCGCGUCGGAUGUGAAAGCCCGGGGCUUAACCCCGGGUCUGCAUUCGAUACGGGCAGGCUAGAGUGUGGUAGGGGAGAUCGGAAUUCCUGGUGUAGCGGUGAAAUGCGCAGAUAUCAGGAGGAACACCGGUGGCGAAGGCGGAUCUCUGGGCCAUUACUGACGCUGAGGAGCGAAAGCGUGGGGAGCGAACAGG
rnacentral:rRNA from 1 species